rfam:Picea glauca, whole genome shotgun sequence.
GAUUAUCGGAAAUGUAUAUCUCAUCUCUUGUCGCAAUGAAGAAUGUAGUGAAAUGUGAUACUUAGUGUGAAUUGAAGAAUUCUCUGAAUCAUUGAGUUUUUUAAUGCAAUUUGUGCCUGAGGCCUCAGUCGAGGGAACAUCUGUCCAAGUGAUC